rnacentral:rRNA from 1 species
UACGAGGGGGGCAAGCGUUGUUCGGAAUUAUUGGGCGUAAAGGGUGCGUAGGCGGUUUGGUAAGUCUUAUGUGAAAUCUACAGGCUCAACUUGUAGUCUGCAUGAGAAACUGCCGGGCUUGAGUAUGGGAGAGGUGAGUGGAAUUCCUGGUGUAGCGGUGAAAUGCGUAGAUAUCAGGAGGAACACCAACGGCGAAGGCAGCUCGCUGGGACGGUACUGACGCUGAGGUGCGAAAGCGUGGGGAGCGAACAGG